AGAGUUUGAUCCUGGCUCAGGACGAACGCUGGCGGCGUGCCUAACACAUGCAAGUCGAGCGGAGACAGGGAGUAGCUUGCUACGAACUGUUUUAGCGGCGGACGGGUGAGUAACGCGUGAGCAACCUUUCCCAGACAGGGGAAUAACACACCGAAAGGUGUACUAAUACCGCAUAAGACCACGGGAUCACAUGGUUCUGGGGUAAAAGAAUUAUCGGUUUGGGGUGGGCUCGCGUCCGAUUAGGUAGUUGGUGAGGUAACGGCCCACCAAGCCGACGAUCGGUAGCCGACCUGAGAGGGUGAUCGGCCACAUUGGGACUGAGACACGGCCCAAACUCCUACGGGAGGCAGCAGUGGGGAAUAUUGCACAAUGGGGGAAACCCUGAUGCAGCGACGCCGCGUGAAGGAAGAAGUAUCUCGGUAUGUAAACUUCUAUCAGCAGGGAAGAAAAUGACGGUACCUGACUAAGAAGCCCCGGCUAACUACGUGCCAGCAGCCGCGGUAAUACGUAGGGGGCAAGCGUUGUCCGGAAUAAUUGGGCGUAAAGGGCGCGUAGGCGGCUCGGUAAGUCUGGAGUGAAAGUCCUGCUUUUAAGGUGGGAAUUGCUUUGGAUACUGUCGGGCUUGAGUGCAGGAGAGGUUAGUGGAAUUCCCAGUGUAGCGGUGAAAUGCGUAGAGAUUGGGAGGAACACCAGUGGCGAAGGCGACUAACUGGACUGUAACUGACGCUGAGGCGCGAAAGUGUGGGGAGCAAACAGGAUUAGAUACCCUGGUAGUCCACACUGUAAACG
rnacentral:rRNA from 1 species